rnacentral:rRNA from 1 species
GGCGGCAUGCUUACACAUGCAAGUCGAACGGUAACGAUGGAAAGCUUGCUUUCCAGGCGACGAGUGGCGGACGGGUGAGUAAUGCAUAGGAAUCUGCCCAGUAGCGGGGGACAACCUGGUGAAAACCAGGCUAAUACCGCAUACGCCCCCUGGUUUAAUAACUGGGGGGGAAAGCGGGGGACCUUCGGGCCUCGCACUAUUGGAUGAGCCUAUGUCUGAUUAGCUAGUUGGUAGGGUAAAAGCCUACCAAGGCGACGAUCAGUAGCUGGUCUGAGAGGAUGAUCAGCCACACUGGGACUGAGACACGGCCCAGACUCCUACGGGAGGCAGCAGUGGGGAAUAUUGGACAAUGGGCGCAAGCCUGAUCCAGCAAUGCCGCGUGUGUGAAGAAGGCCUGAGGGUUGUAAAGCACUUUCAAUUGUGAAGAAAAGUUUAAGGUUAAUAACCUUAAACCGUGACGUUAACUUUAGAAGAAGCACCGGCUAACUCCGUGCCAGCAACCGCGGUAAUACGGAGGGUGCAGAGCGUUAAUCGGAAUUACUGGGCGUAAAGCGUGCGUAGGUGGCUUGGUAAGU